UACGAAGGGGGCUAGCGUUGUUCGGAAUCACUGGGCGUAAAGCGCACGUAGGCGGAUCUUUAAGUCAGGGGUGAAAUCCCGAGGCUCAACCUCGGAACUGCCUUUGAUACUGGGGAUCUCGAGUCCGGGAGAGGUGAGUGGAACUGCGAGUGUAGAGGUGAAAUUCGUAGAUAUUCGCAAGAACACCAGUGGCGAAGGCGGCGACCUGGUCCGAUACUGACGCUGAGGCGCGAAAGCGUGGGGAGCAAACAGG
rnacentral:rRNA from 1 species